rnacentral:rRNA from 1 species
CCUACGGGAGACAGCAGUGAGGAAUAUUGGUCAAUGGGCUUACGCCUGAACCAGCCAAGUCGCGUGAGGGAAGACUGCCCUAUGGGUUGUAAACCUCUUUUGUCAGGGAGCAACGCCGGCUACGUGUAGCCGGACUGAGAGUACCUGAAGAAAAAGCAUCGGCUAACUCCGUGCCAGCAGCCGCGGUAAUACGGAGGAUGCGAGCGUUAUCCGGAUUUAUGGGGUUUAAAGGGUGCGUAGGCGGAAUGCCAAGUCAGCGGGAAAAUCGCGGGGCUCAACCUCGCUCCGCCGUUGAAACUGGCGGUCUUGAGUGGGCGAGAGGUAUGCGGAAUGCGUAGUGUAGCGGUGAAAUGCAUAGAUAUCACGCAGAACUCCGAUUGCGAAGGCAGCAUACCGGCGCCCAACUGACGCUGAAGCACGAAAGCGUGGGUAUCGAACAGGAUUAGAUACCCUAGUAGUC